UCCCCUACGGGAGGCAGCAGUGAGGAAUAUUGGUCAAUGGGCGAGAGCCUGAACCAGCCAAGUCGCGUGAAGGAUGAAGGAUCUAUGGUUUGUAAACUUCUUUUAUAUGGGAAUAAAGUGAGGAACGUGUUCCUUUUUGUAUGUACCAUAUGAAUAAGCAUCGGCUAACUCCGUGCCAGCAGCCGCGGUAAUACGGAGGAUGCGAGCGUUAUCCGGAUUUAUUGGGUUUAAAGGGUGCGUAGGCGGUCCGUUAAGUCAGCGGUAAAAUUGCGGGGCUCAACCCCGUCGAGCCGUUGAAACUGGCA
rnacentral:rRNA from 1 species